rnacentral:lncRNA from 1 species
GUAGAGACAUUGUCUGAUAACUAGAAACAGGGAAACCAAAUACUGGCUUUGAAGUUUGAACGUUAGUAUUUGCAGCCACUAUGUUCCCUUUCUCUAUCCUAAACCUCACUGACUCUUCUCUCCCCUCAAAUUCUCCGCAAAACCCAAACCCAUACGAGAGAAGUUCAGUCAGAGACCAAAAUCACCAUUAACGAGAGGCGCAAGAAUAAUAAGAAGAAGAGAAGAGGGUUGCUUCCCUUAAGAGAUGCAAAGAAAAUCGAGCUUGAGAAGAAGGGAAAUGGAAGAGGGUUGAGUCCCUACAAGGAUGUAAAUUGAGACAGAUCAAUCCUCUGGUUCUCAAGAACCCUUCUACGUUUCACGUCAAAGCGAAGCUUCCAGAACCUGACUUCAAUGGCGAGCGUGUAGAGCCUAAGGAUCCCAGAGGGUUUCUUCACGGGAAGGGUUUGGAGGAUGUCAUGCAGUUUUUCAUAGUUGGAGCUAUAACCCUAGUUCUAAGACCACUCAUAAAGGGUAAAUGGCUUCCUCAGCACACUGUUGCUGCAUGUGGAGAACUUUACCUUUUAGAUUCUUUGUUGAAGCAUAAUGCUGUUAUCAAUUCGGUGGAUAAGGAUGGUUUGACUGCCCUUCACAAAGCGAUUGGCAAAAAGCAGGUCAUAACCAAUUUUCUCCUAAAAAACUCAGCUAAUGCGUUUGUACGGGACAAAGAGGGGGCCACCUUGAUGCACUAUGCUGUACAAACAGCUUCUACUGAGACAAUUGAAUUACUCUUAUUGUAUAUUGUAGAGAUAAAUCUUCAAGACAAUGAUGGCUGGACACCAUUAAAUCUUGCUGUUCAAACUCAGACCAAAUUUAGUUAGGCUUCUGCUGCUUAAAGGUGCUGAUAAGACAUUAAGAAACAAGGAUGGUUUAACUCCACUUGACCUUUGUCUUUACUCUGGUCAAAGUUUCCAAACGUAUGUGCUAAUCAAGUUGUUAAAGCAGCCUCAAGGGUGUCUUUGACAAAUGGUGUUGUCUCUAGUUCCCAGACAUUUGGAAAUGUAGCUGUAUCGUUCCUGUUGUACCAAGAGCAGAACAAGGGAUGUGGUUUCUUUAUCCAUGUCAGAUGUGAUUUAGUGUCCUUCUCAUUUCAAAUAUAUUUAUUUUUAACCCCUUAUGGUGAUCUAUCUUAGAUUGGGAAAAGAAUUAAUUUCUCCAUUUUUAUCCUUGGUUAAACCUAUAUGUCUUCUCAUGCUCAUCAAGUAAGAAGGAUUUUAAUCAGUAGUGUCCCCAUUAUUGCUCUCUAAUUGAUUAUUGAGUUGUGGGAACCAAAUGUGUAAAUCAGUUGCUCAAGAUUAACACUUAGUGUUGUGACUUCAGGAGGCAGUCACAUUACACCAGAGGUGCAGAGAUUAGUUUUCCAUUUGUGUUCUUCAAAUUUUCAACUGACACCAACAGCAGUCAAUUGUCGUUGAAUUCUAUGGCCAGGGAGUUUGACAUGCACUUUUGGAAACCCUACUGGCAGUGUAAAUCGACCGAGUAAGAAUUUUUGAUGGGUACUUUGUAGUAUGACCUUUGUACUUGUGUCGCUGUCUAUUAUAAGGGGAUGAAAAUAGAAGAAAAAAUAUUAAACAUACUGUAUAAUGAGGUCGAUAGUGUAAAGAUGCUUCAUACACAAACACAAUAUUAUCCUAAGCACUA